rnacentral:rRNA from 1 species
UACGGAGGGGACUAGCGUUGUUCGGAAUUACUGGGCGUAAAGCGCACGUAGGCGGAUUUGUAAGUCAGGGGUGAAAUCCCGGGGCUCAACCUCGGAACUGCCUUUGAUACUGCAAAUCUCGAGUCCGGAAGAGGUGAGUGGAAUUCCUAGUGUAGAGGUGAAAUGCGCAGAUAUCAGGAAGAACACCCGUGGCGAAGGCGGCUCUCUGGGACGUGACUGACGCUGAGACGCGAAAGCGUGGGGAGCGAACAGG